GGCAGAAUGGCCGAGCGGUCUAAGGCGCUGCACUCAAGUAUUCGUACUUCUCUAUAGUGAAACAUAGAGUGAUUUGCAGUCUCGAUGAGGCGUGGGUUCAAAUCCCACUUCUGUCA